UCGCAAGAUCAAAAUCAAAAGGAAUUGAGGGGGGACCGCGACAACGCACAGAGCAUGUGUUAUAAGUUCGAAGCAACGCGCAGAACCUUACCCUUAUUGACAUUUGACGUAUAGGCAAUCGAGACGAUAUCCUUCAGUUAGGCUGACCCCAGCACAGGUCAGGCAUGGCAGUGGUCAGCUCAGGUCGUGAGAUGAGAGGUUAAGUCCAGCACCGAGCGCAACCCUCCCCUUUAGUUUCCAGCAUUUAGUUGGGCACUCUAAGGGGACUGCCGGUGAUAAGCCGAGAGGAAGGUGGGGAGGAGGUCAAUUCUUCAUGCCCCUUACGGGAGGGGUUCCCCACUCGUUCCAAUGGUGGUGCCAGGGGCCACCGAGCCAGGGAGGGGGAGUUAUUCUCCAAAAGCCAUCUCAGUUCGGAUUGCAGUCUGCAACUCGAGUGCAUGAAGUUGGAAUCGCUAGUAAUCGCAGAUCAGCAUGUUGCGGUGAAUACGUUCCCGGGUCUUGUACACACCGCCCGUCACACCAUGGGAGUUGGUUUACCCAGAAGGUGAGGUGACGCCUAACCGCAAGGAGGCAGCUACACCACGUAGUAAUGCGAU
rnacentral:rRNA from 1 species